ACCUGCAGUCGAGGGGUAACAGGGAGGAGCUUGCUUUUCCGCUGACGACCGGCGCACGGGUGCGUAACGCGUAUAGAACCUACCUUUUACAGGAGAAUAGCCUUUAGAAAUGAAGAUUAAUGCUCCAUAGUAUCGUUGAAUGGCAUCAUUUAACGAUUAAACAUUUAUGGGUAAAAGAUGGCUAUGCGUUCUAUUAGCUAGUAGGUAAGGUAACGGCUUACCUAGGCGACGAUAGAUAGGGGCCCUGAGAGGGGGAUCCCCCACACUGGUACUGAGACACGGACCAGACUCCUACGGGAGGCAGCAGUGAGGAAUAUUGGACAAUGGAGGCAACUCUGAUCCAGCCAUGCCGCGUGCAGGAAGACUGCCCUAUGGGUUGUAAACUGCUUUUAUAUAGGAAGAAACCUACUUACGUGUAAGUAGCUGACGGUACUAUAAGAAUAAGGAUCGGCUAACUCCGUGCCAGCAGCCGCGGUAAG
rnacentral:rRNA from 1 species